CUGGAGUCGUUAAAACAGACUUUAGAAAGACCGCUGGGUAUAUUCCACAAGACGUGGUAGAGGAUAUUCCUGGAGUCACAGCUGAAGAAGUGGCAGAUUCUGUAAUUUAUGUCUUGGGAACACCACCAACUGUUUUGAUAAGGGAAUUAACGCUAACUGCAGUGGGAGAAAUUGUGUAAAAAUGUACUUUGUAAUACUGCUAACAAAUUAAAUAUUAUUUGUGUAUUUGUUUCCCAUAA